UGCAAUCUAUGAUGCAAAUCAUUUGUCAGUGCUGAUUGUCCUGUGAUGAUCAUAAAAAAUCACCAUCUUUCGGCUGAGGUUGCA
rfam:Populus trichocarpa isolate Nisqually-1 chromosome 11, whole genome shotgun sequence.